rnacentral:tRNA from 1 species
GGAGGGAUGGCCGAGCGGUCGAAGGCACCGGUUUUGAAAACCGGCGUGGGCUCAACACCCACCGUGGGUUCGAAUCCCACUCCCUCCGCCA